rnacentral:siRNA from 1 species
UACAAUUCUGCUCCUCGUAUUC